AGUGAACGCUGGCGGUAGGCCUAACACAUGCAAGUCGAACGGCUGCACAGGAGAGCUUGCCCUCUGGGUGGCGAGUGGCGGACGGGUGAGGAAUACAUCGGAAUCUACUCUGUCGUGGGGGAUAACGUAGGGAAACUUACGCUAAUACCGCAUACGACCUACGGGUGAAAGCAGGGGACCUUCGGGCCUUGCGGCAUUCAAUGGGCCGAUGUCGGAUUAGCUAGUUGGCGGGGUAAAGGCCCACCAAGGCGACGAUCCGUAGCUGGUCUGAGAGGAUGAUCAGCCACACUGGAACUGAGACACGGUCCAGACACCUACGGGAGGCAGCAGUGGGGAAUAUUGGACAAUGGGCGCAAGCCUGAUCCAGCCAUACCGCGUGGGUGAAGAAGGCCUUCGGGUUGUAAAGCCCUUUUGUUGGGAAAGAAAUCCAGCUGGCUAAUACCCGGUUGGGAUGACGGUACCCAAAGAAUAAGCACCGGCUAACUUCGUGCCAGCCGCCGCCGUAA
rnacentral:rRNA from 1 species